GGAUUUUUUUGUAGAUUCCUUUUUUGUAAGAUUUUCUACAUAGACAAUCAUGUCAUCAGUAAAUGGGGACAGUUUUCUUUUUUCAUCUGUAUGCUUUUUAGUUCCUUGUCUUGCCUUAUUGCACUGUCUAGAACUACUAGCAGUAUGUUGAAGAGGAGUGAGAACAGAUAUACUUGCCUUUUUCCUGAUCUUAGGAGAAAAGUGCUCAGACUUUCACCAUUAAGUAUAAUAUUAACUGUAGACGUUUUGUAGGUGCUUUUGUCAAGUUGAAGAAGUUUCCCCAUACUCCCAUUUUUCUGAGAAUAUAUAUAUUUUUAAUCAUGAAUGGGUGUAGACUUUUACCAAACGAUUCCUCUCCAUCAAUUGAUGAUCAUGUAAUUUUCUUCUUUGGAGGGUUACUGUGGUAGAUUACACAGAUUGACUUUUGAAUAUUGAGCCACAUUUGCAUCCCUGGAAUAAACCCCAGUUGAGCAUGGUAUAUAAAUCUUACCACAAUUUGAUAAAAUCUAUGUGCUGAUACUUUGUUAAGGAGUUUUGCAGUUAUAUUCAUGAGAGAUAUUGACCUGUACUUUCUUUUGUACUAUUGUUUUGUUUGUUUUCAUGGUAAUACUAGGAAUUGGGAAAUAUUCCCUCCUAUUUUGUGGAAGAAAUCAUACAAAGUUAGCGUUACUUCCUCUUUAAACAUCUGGUAAUUCUCCAGAGAAACCAUCUGGACCUGAGAGCUUUUUUGGGGGAUAUGGGGGGGGAUCUUUAUGAAUUAAUUCUCCUUGUUAUAGGGCUAUUCAAACAAUCUGUUUCACCCUGGGUCAGUUGUGGUAGUUUGUGCUUUUCGAAGGAUUUGGUCGAUUUUGUCAAAUUUAUGCAUGUAGAGUUUAUAGUGUUCCCUUGUCAUCUUUUGAUAUUUGUGAAGUUUCUAGUGAUAUGCUAUGUUUCUUUCCUGAUAUUUGUAGUUUGUGUCUUUUUUUAGUCAGUCUUGCUAGUGGUUUGUCGAUUUUAUUGGUGUUUUUCAAAGAACUAGCUCUUUCAUUGAUUUUCUCUUUUUUUCUUUUAUAAAUUGCUUUGCUUUCUGUUCCUUUUCUUAUUUUUUUUUUAUUUCCUUGCUUAUGCUUGUUUUGAGUUUACUUUGGUCUUCUUUUUCUAAGUUCUUAAGGUGGGACUUUAGAUAAAAUGUAUGCAUUUAGUGCUUUGAUUUUUCCUCAGCACUGCUUUAGCUGUGUGCAACAAUGUUUGGUAUGUUUUCAUUUUUAUUCAGUUCAAUGUAUUUAAAAUUUAUUUCCCUUGAGAAUUCCUUAUUGACCCAUGAAUUAUUUAGAAGUGCAUUUAGCUUUGAAGUAUUAUAAGAUUUUCCUCCUUUCUUUCUACUGUUGGUUUCUAUCUUAUGUCCAUGGUCAUCAGAGAACAUGUUCUGUAUGACUCCAUUUUUAAAUCAGUUGAUAUUUGUCUUAUGGUCCAGGUUACGGUCUAUCUUGGUAUAUGUUCUGCUGGAGCAUAAUAAAGGUCCAUUCCGCUGCUGUUGGGUGGAGUGUUCUAUAAAUGUUGAUUAGGCCCUGCUGACUGUGUUGUCAUUUCAGUAUUGGCACCUAUUGAUUGUUUUUUUUCAUUCAGUUUGAGAUCUUCUUGGUUCUUGGUAUGAUGAGAGACCCCCCUCCCCAUAUAUAAUGACUUUAUUUUAAUGUUUAUUUAUAUUUGAGAGAGAGAGCGCACAAGCAGGGAAGGGGCAGAGAGAAAGAGGGAGACACACAGUCCAAAGCAGGAUCCAGGCUCUGAGCUGUCAGCACAGAGCCUGAUGUGGGGCUCGAACCCACAAACUGUGGUAUCAUGAUCUGAGCCGAAGUAGGAUGCCCAACCGACUGAGCCACCCAGGUGCCUCAAAACUUUAUUUUUUUAAGUAAUCUCUCUACACCCAACAUGGGGUUUGAACUCACCACCCAAGAUCAAGAGUCGUGGGCUCUUCUGACAGUCAGGCAACCCAUGAUGACUUUUUAUUGGAACCUAGAUAUUUUUGUGUUAUGAGAUUGAAUCAAAAUUGAAACUUCUGUUUUAACUUUCUGUGAACUGCUUUGGCAUGGGAAGGGGAGGUGGGACUUCAUGACCCUCCACCAGCUCUAAUCUCUGGCUUUGAGAUUCCCCCCUCUGCAAUGCUCCCUACAGCACAGUGCAGGAAACUAUCUCUAGGUUCGUGGCCAUUCUGAGUUAAUUUUUGUAUAAGGUGUUAGAUGUAGGUUAAGUUUUAUUUUGUGCCUAUUGCUCUAGCGUUUGUUGAAAAGGCUGUCUUUCCUCCAUUGAAUUGUUUUGGUAUCUUUGUCAAAAAAAAAAAAAAAAAAAGAGUUGGGCACAACUCUCAGUAAACUGAGGCUAUCAUAGGGCUCAUCUCAUUUAUUUCCCUUUUCUCAUUUAAUGAAGUUCUGUACUACUUGCUUUUCAAUAUCCAUAAACAUUUUUUAUAAUUUUGUCUGGUUUUUUAGUUGUUUAUAAUGGGAAGGUGAUUUCUGUCAGUGGAAGAAGUCUUCCCGAACCAGUUUUUCAGCUGGAAACAACUGAUGUAAGAGGCUAGGCCCCUAGAACAAAAGACCUUGAAACAGCAUGACCCUCUUGCAGGUCCAGCAUAAUAUGUCCUGGACCAUAUGGACAUUCCACAGAUCAUCACAUUACUUCAUUCAAGGUAAUAAUUCCCCUGGUCCUAUAAGGACUCACGACCUUUGCUUAAUACAUGCUGGAGAAAGAGGCACAUUCAACCAUUUGAGAAACUGUUGUAUACAGGGUCUUAUCUGAUACUGAUGUCCAUGGAUCUGAAGCAUCAUCAUGGCCCCCUGGUAGAGUGGCAGUGUAUGGGGAUGGGGUGACAAAUGUAUUCCAGACUCAGGUCUAGCUCUCAGUGGUCCUACUGGGUUCGUAGAUCCACCCAGCGGUCAUUUCACUGGUCCUUAAUGGGUAACUGAGAUGGAUAUAUUUGAUAGUUGGCAGAACUACACUAACCAUGAUAGGGUUAGAAAGGCCAACACGAAGCUCCUGAAGUUGCCGCUACCAUCUCAGGCCAAGAUAAUAAAAACUAUCACAGUAGUGGCCCUCUUGCAGAUCUAAAGGAUGCAGGGAUGGUGGGCCCAUUAAAACACUAUUUAAUUCACCAGUCUGGUCCCUGGUAAAAUCAGAAAGUUCUUGGAGGAUGACAGUGGAUGACAGCCAUCUCAAUCAAGUCAUUUGAAUUGUAUCUGUUGUGCUAAAUGCUAAAUGUGGUGUCUUUGCUAGAGAUUAACACAGCUGCAGGUACAUGAUAAGCGGCCAUUAAUCUGAGCAAUAUAUUCUUUUCCAUCUCUGUAAGAAAGGACCAUAAAAAGUACUUUCACUACUGGGAUGAGCAGGAAUAGUCUUGCACCUGGACCAUGUAAAACCUCCCACCCUGUCAUAAUAUGUCCUGGACCAUAUGGACAUUCCACAGAUCAUCAUGUUACUUCAUUGAUGACAUCAUGGUAAUUGUACAGGAUGAGCAAGAAAUGGCAAGUACACUAGAGGCCUUGAUAGGAUAAACAUCCUUCAAGUAGUGGUACAUAAAACUGCAAAUACCCAGUAAUGUUUUUAGAGGUCCAGUGGUCUGGACCAUGCCAGGAUGUUCCCUCCAAAGUAAAGGAGAAACUUUACUUCUCACAUCUCACUCCCAAGAAGGGAAUACAGUGCCUGACAAACCUCAUUAGGGUCUACAGACAGCAUACUCCACACUUGGGAAUACUGUUCUGACACAUGUAUCAAUUCUGAUAAUGGACAGAUGCAGUCAUGGCCUGCAAGGGCAAUAUGACCAGGUACCUUAUCAGGUAACCUAUUUGGACCAGAAGUACAAGUUGAGGGGGUGUGGGUAGGAAUCUAGAUGGGGAGUAGAGAAGGGAGAUGAGUACCAGUGCAGACAGGGUAAGUUACAGCAGCAGGGGCUAUGGUCUGUCCCAGACCUUCCUCUGUUAACCAGUUUUCCCAGGAAAAGAGGCCCAUCAAAUCCUGAAGGGAUCACUCUAGAACUCAAGAAACAAUGGAUCCGAACAGCACGAAAGGUGGACUAUAGUGAAGACCUAGUGUGCUGCCCAGAUUCCCCGCUUCAGGACUGAAGCACUCAUUUCCCAAGCUGCUAAGAAUGCGGAUGGCGCUCUUCCGAGUCCCCUUGGGAGCUGCCUUUUCCUGAAGUCAGACACCUCACCCAAGGACAUGGCCCCUUUUUAGCCAAUGUGGGGCACCAAACCCCAGUAGCUCAAGAGUACAAUCUACUUGGAAGUUCUGCCCCCAGUCUACUCAUGCCCAGUAAACAGCAUCUAAAAACACAA